AUUCAGUAAACCUUUAGAAAGGGUUCGUCUGCUUUAAAUAUGUAUUUUCCAUAUAAGAACUGGUGAGAUCUGAAACCAUAAAAAUCUAAAUCCGCCUCAACAGAACUUCUGUAUGGCGCCGAAUGCCCCAGAAUAUGAUAUUACUGAUAACAAGCAGUGUUUUUUCCAUUAUAGUUUUGACGAUCAGCGAAGUUACAAAAAAUGUCAUGAGUCGAGGGGAAGUUUGGCGCACACGAGCGAAGGGACUCUUGAUGGGGAACACACCCGGAAGCAGCUGAAGCGGCUCAGGGCAGAUGGAAUCUCAGUCUGAAACAUGGUGGCUGGAGAUGUAAUGCGAUGAUGUGAAAGUUACAUGUUCGUGAAUCGCAUGUUGGGAAGACUGUGCGAUCCCUGUGAGUUUCAGGAGCAGCUGAUGCUUCUUUGACGGAGCCUGUCUGACCUGCAGCUGAGCCUCCCUCUCUGCUUCACCAUGCCGCUGGUGGUGGACGCCGUGUGGGCUCUGUGGAGCAUCGGAGCCGGCAUCUAUGACUACUUCCACACCAGCGCCAUGGAGGAGAGGAUCCACACGCUGGAGAACGUCCUCUCCAUCCACCAGUUUGUGAUCGCGGGCCUGUCGGCAGGCCUCAUCCUGCUCAUGACGUACAUACUCUGGAGAAAACACUGAACCUCUGCCGACCUGGGCCUCUCCAGCCGAGGCCGGGCGCCCCCUUCCCCACCUAAAUGUUGUUUUGUCGCAGGGUGGCUUUCAUUACGCGGGCUAGUUUCCAUCCAGAUGUUGGCCAGAGGAGACAGUCUGGCUCUUACAGCUGCUCACACUUGGAGAUCAUGCAUGUUUGGUUACGAUUGGGACGUCCCAGAUGAGGUCAGGAGCACUGAUGGGGCGUCUAAACCGAGAAAAAAGCUCCAUGAGGACAUGUGGUCUCUGAAAACCUGCUGGGUACCAACGGCUAGUCUGGGCUUGGUCUGUGUCUUUCUGUCUGUAUUUUGUUAAACUGGCCUGAGGCGUCCACAGAACAUUCUCCACAUUAACCCAAAAUCAUGACUUUGCACUUUGACUUUUUUGCUUGAAGAACUUUAAUGUAGAAAACCCCUCUGAGAGUUGAAACUCCCUCCCAGUGCAGUGAGGUGAGAGCUGGAGGAUGUUUUAGGAUUUAAAACCUCUGAUUUGUUACUGGUUUGUUAAUAAGUUUAUCACAGGGUCACAGAGUAUUUACCUCAUGUUUACGAGUUAAUCACUACUUUUUUAAUAUAACACCAUUUUUUUGUUGCACUUACUCAUUUCUCUAAAACCAUCGAGCUGAGCAGUAACUGAAGAAAACAGCAUUUCAGUUAAACAUUUAUGUUCAGUCAGUGUUGCCUCAUAACAUCUACUGAUAAUCAAUGCCUCCAUUGAUUCCCACCUGUGACUUUAGUGUGAUUUAACAGGUAAUUAAAGUAAAAAUUCUAAAUGUCCAUGAUGGUGCAGGAGAGCAGGACGAGCACAAAAACACUGGGAAAUGAAUUCACUCAUCACUUGAUUUAUUAUUUUUUUCAUGCUGAGGAGGAAGGAAUGAAUUUUAUUUAUUGAGUGCUGUCUGAUGUCCAUCUUUACAUUUUCCUCACGUGUUAAAAUUAUGAUCUAAUGGUUCAGUCAAAUGUAUCGGUCACUUUUUCUCUGUUGCUUUCUCUGUGGGUGAACUGUGUGCACUACUCUGUUACUGAUGAACCACCACCGUGGCUAUGACUAAAGGGAAAAUGUUUGAAUAAUAAGUCAAAGCUGCUCUUUUUCUCUCGUGUCUGUGUUUUAAUUACAGCCUUUUUGUUUCUUGGA